UACGUAGGGGCCGAGCGUUGUCCGGAGUUAUUGGGCGUAAAGCGCGCGCAGGCGGCUUGGCGCGCCCGACGUGAAAGCCCCCCGGCUUAACCGGGGAGAGUCGUCGGGGACGGCCGGGCUUGAGGGCGGGAGAGGGUGGUGGAAUUCCCGGUGUAGUGGUGAAAUGCGUAGAGAUCGGGAGGAACACCUGUGGCGAAGGCGGCCACCUGGGCCGACCCUGACGCUGAGGCGCGAAGGCGUGGGGAGCGAACGGG
rnacentral:rRNA from 1 species